GACGAAGGAUGCAAGCGUUAUCCGGAUUCAUUGGGUUUAAAGGGUGCGUAGGCGGGCAGGUAAGUCAGUGGUGAAAUCUUCGAGCUUAACUCGGAAACUGCCUUUGAUACUAUCUGUCUUGAAUAUUGUGGAGGUAAGCGGAAUAUGUCAUGUAGCGGUGAAAUGCUUAGAUAUGACAUAGAACACCUAUUGCGAAGGCAGCUUACUACGCAUAUAUUGACGCUGAGGCACGAAAGCGUGGGGAUCAAACAGG
rnacentral:rRNA from 1 species